rnacentral:lncRNA from 10 species
CAUUUCUGAGCAUAGCAAAAGUUCAGGGAGCCAAGGAAAGAUCUUGCUGAAUGUAUCACAAAGUGAAGUUUUCAUCAGGACAGGACAGCUAGAAUUUUCUACCAUAAGGGCAGGAAUCCUGUCUUCUUUAUCCCCUGCUAUAUUCUCAUCUCCUUGAAAGGUGCCUGCAGUUACUGUCACAGCCCAGAUUAUGCCACGGAACCAUUGUGGUGAGGACUCUGUGGUCUCCACCCCUGAACACUGAACGAAAGUCACUCCUCUCCUGAAACUGGUUGCUGCAGCCACUACCAGAAUGGAGUCUCCCCUCUCUGGGCAGGAGCAUCUGAUUGGCUGAGCUGAGGUCACAUGCCAGGCAGCAUCAGACCUUUCCUGUAGAGGCCAAUGACGCCUGCCUCCCACUCAGACACAGAAGUUCCCUCCUGCCCUUUCUCAGUCAGGGUACCCGCACUCCCGACAUCACAUCAUCCUGCUUUGUGUCACCGGCUUUCCAUAAUUUCUGACACUAAUUUUCAGUUAUUAGUGUCACCUUCCUCAGAGGUGCCUUCCCUAACCACUUGUCUGGAGUAGCCAAGAGUAAUUGCGUUGUUUGUCGUUACUUUCAAUGGCAAAAACCACAGUUACGUUUGCAUCAAGCGAAUACUUUUGCCUGUUCUGGAACUCAUUCAUGCUCUGAAACAUUUGUUAUUCAUAUAAAUGGAAUCAUACAGCCACACUUGUAUGUGUAUAUGUCUGGCUUCUUUCAC